rnacentral:piRNA from 1 species
UGCAUAAAGUCAGGCUUGGUUGUAGGCCCC